GAUGAACGCUGGCGGCGUGCCUAAUACAUGCAAGUCGAGCGAACAGACGAGGAGCUUGCUCCUCUGACGUUAGCGGCGGACGGGUGAGUAACACGUGGAUAACCUACCUAUAAGACUGGGAUAACUUCGGGAAACCGGAGCUAAUACCGGAUAAUAUAUUGAACCGCAUGGUUCAAUAGUGAAAGACGGUUUUGCUGUCACUUAUAGAUGGAUCCGCGCCGCAUUAGCUAGUUGGUAAGGUAACGGCUUACCAAGGCGACGAUGCGUAGCCGACCUGAGAGGGUGAUCGGCCACACUGGAGCUGAGACACGGUCCAGACUCCUACGGGAGGCAGCAGUAGGGAAUCUUCCGCAGUGGGCGAGAGCCUGAUGGAGCAACGCCGCGUGAGUGAUGAAGGUCUUCGGAUCGUAAAACUCUGUUAUUAGGGAAGAACAAAUGUGUAAGUAACUAUGCACGUCUUGACGGUACCUAAUCAGAAAGCCACGGCUAACUACGUG
rnacentral:rRNA from 1 species